AUUGAACGCUGGCGGCAUGCUUUACGCAUGCAAGUCGAACGGUAACAGGUUAAGCUGACGAGUGGCGAACGGGUGAGUAAUGCAUCGGAACGUGCCCGGUCGUGGGGGAUAACGCAGCGAAAGCUGCGCUAAUACCGCAUACGAUCUGAGGAUGAAAGCGGGGGACCGUAAGGCCUCGCGCGAUCGGAGCGGCCGAUGUCAGAUUAGGUAGUUGGUGGGGUAAAGGCUCACCAAGCCGACGAUCUGUAGCUGGUCUGAGAGGACGACCAGCCACACUGGGACUGAGACACGGCCCAGACUCCUACGGGAGGCAGCAGUGGGGAAUUUUGGACAAUGGGCGCAAGCCUGAUCCAGCAAUGUCGCGUGCAGGAAGAAGGCCUUCGGGUUGUAAACUGCUUUUGUACGGAGCGAAAAGGCUCUCUCUAAUACAGGGGGUUCAUGACGGUACCGUAAGAAUAAGCACCGGCUAACUACGUGCCAGCAGCCGCCGUAA
rnacentral:rRNA from 1 species